rnacentral:rRNA from 1 species
GACGAACGCUGGCGGCGUGCUUAACACAUGCAAGUCGAACGGAAAGGCCCUGCUUUUGUGGGGUGCUCGAGUGGCGAACGGGUGAGUAACACGUGAGUAACCUGCCCUUGACUUUGGGAUAACUUCAGGAAACUGGGGCUAAUACCGGAUAGGAGCUCCUGCUGCAUGGUGGGGGCUGGAAAGUUUCGGCGGUUGGGGAUGGACUCGCGGCUUAUCAGCUUGUUGGUGGGGUAGUGGCUUACCAAGGCUUUGACGGGUAGCCGGCCUGAGCGGGUGACCGGCCACAUUGGGACUGAGAUACGGCCCAGACUCCUACGGGAGGCAGAAGUGGGGAAUAUUGCACAAUGGGCGGAAGCCUGAUGCAGCAACGCCGCGUGCGGGAUGACGGCCUUCGGGUUGUAAACCGCUUUCGCCUGUGACGAAGCGUGAGUGACGGUAAUGGGUAAAGAAGCACCGGCUAACUACGUG